AUGAAGCUGGAAUCGCUAGUAAUCGCGAAUCAGAAUGUCGCGGUGAAUACGUUCCCGGGUCUUGUACACACCGCCCGUCACACCAUGGGAGUUGGGAAUGCCCGAAGUCAGUGACCCAACCGCAAGGAGGGAGCUGCCGAAGGCAGGCUUGAUAACUGGGGUGAAGUCGUAACAAGGUAAC
rnacentral:rRNA from 1 species